rnacentral:lncRNA from 1 species
GCGUUCGCGGAUGUAAACAAACAACAGAAGAGGAGGAGGGGAAACUAGAGGUCGUGUGGAGUUACCUGGACACCUGUUCAAUGGUGCGACUGUCUGCAACUGCAAGAGGUCCUCCUACCUCGGAUGAUUCUGCGCUGUGGAUUCUAUACGAUGGAUUUAGUACAGCUGAUCUUGUAAGAUAUAAGAAGAAUAGACUAAUGAGAAAAAAAAGAUAUUGAGGUCAAACAAAAUCCAAAACAAAGGAGAAGAAUAGUCUUUAAGAAAUCAGUUGGUGAAGAUGUGGGAUAUGCUUAGCAGCAGUGACACGAAUGUAGUGAAGUUGUCAUAAAGGGCGGAAAGAGAAAAGAAAAACAACUGGCCAGUCAAGAUGGAAGUGGAUGUCCUAAUCAAGAGUGAAGAGGAAGCUUUUGAUCCAACAAAUAUUUGAACUGCCAAGGCAGGAGGCGAAAAAAUGAAGGAAUUAUCAGAGCUGAGGUGGAAGCGUGCAAAAUGUUUAUACAGUAAUAUUGUAAGGCAUAUAUUCACAUUAGCCAGCAUUGUUACUUUCACGCAUGGAUAUAAUUCAUUGUAAACAUUACAUGGAAUCAAUAGAUCGGUGAAUUCUAGGGCAUUUUUCUUCCAUGACUUUGAUGCAAAUUAAGAUCAAAAGACAGUAUCUUUCUGAGAAUAAAUACUGUACACUACAGUCAACAAGCAUGGGAAAUAGGUUUCUCGGUAAGGGGGGGGGGAUGGGAGAUUGGCAAAAUCGCACUCAAUAGGUAAAUAAAGCUAAAAUAUAGUAGGAAAGUAAGAUGAAAAAAAGAGCCAGACUUUGGAAUGGGAAGGGAAUGAAAGUGGAAAGGUUUUAUUGCCAUCCAUGAGAAAGAAAGUCUUACCUAAUCCAUUCGUUUGUCGACUUCCUUUAAAGUAUCAUUCAUUCUGAUAUUACAGAGCCAUACUGAUAAGAUUAUGCAAUUAGGCUUUAUUAAACAAUAGUAUUUUCCUUAAUAAAUUGGGUUCAAGUGAAACAGUGCAUUAGAAUGCCUUCUAUUGUCUUGUUUAGCAAAAUUCUAUUCAGGUAAAUAAUUUAUAUAUAACCACAAUAUAUGUUAAUAACAGUUUUUCCUAUCUCCAAAAAUUAAAAGGAUUUCUUCAUUUGAUCCCUUUUAAAAUCACAAAAGCAAUGUAAGAUUUGUUCGCAAACAUUCUACCUCGUGUGCUUUAAUUUAGAACAGAUUUGUGUUUCUAAAAUAAUACUCAACAAUUGAAGUAAGAAUUACCCAAAGGAGAUUUCAAUUGUGAAGAAACUGCUAUCAGAUAACCUUUGAGGAAAUUUGAAGGGUAAUACUUUAAAAUAGUGGCUUGUCAUGAUGUAUGUGAUAUGAUUUAUGUUGACAAUAGUAUGGUGUAUCAUAUAAGUAUGAACAUAAUCUUUAAAGAGGGGCUGACACCUUCUGCCAACCUCAAUGUUCAAUGGUGCUAUUUCCAUAAGGUUACUAAUUAAGGCCAGUAAUUAUAUUCAUGGUAAUGAUCUUUUCCUUGCUUUAUAUUUGUAGUAAUGUACCUGAUGUUUAGAAAGAAUAAUACAUGUUUUGUUGGACUGACAGACCAAAGUAUAGUAGUAGGUCUACAAUAAAGAAUAUAUUUUUUUAUAUGUACUUUUCUAUAUUAACCACUUGAAGGCAAAAGAAUAGAUUUAGAUGUUAAGAUACAUACAUUCCAUAUAAGAUUAGUAUAUAUAUAUAUAUAUAUAUAUAUAUAUUUUUUUUUUUUUUUCUUCUUUUUUUUCAAAAUAUUUUAUAUCCUAUGAUACUUACUGUGAAUCUUCUAUAAUCUGUCUCAAGUGAUUCUGUUCUGCUGGUUUUGUACCUGUGAUUUAUACAGAUAUAAUCUUGGAAAAUAAAUAGAAAAUAUGAAAAUGA